GACGAACGCUGGCGGCGUGCUUAACACAUGCAAGUCGAACGGAAAGGCCCUGCUUUUGUGGGGUGCUCGAGUGGCGAACGGGUGAGUAACACGUGAGUAACCUGCCCUUGACUUUGGGAUAACUUCAGGAAACUGGGGCUAAUACCGGAUAGGAGCUCCUGCUGCAUGGUGGGGGUUGGAAAGUUUCGGCGGUUGGGGAUGGACUCGCGGCUUAUCAGCUUGUUGGUGGGGUAGUGGCUUACCAAGGCUUUGACGGGUAGCCGGCCUGAGAGGGUGACCGGCCACAUUGGGACUGAGAUACGGCCCAGACUCCUACGGGAGGCAGCAGUGGGGAAUAUUGCACAAUGGGCGGAAGCCUGAUGCAGCAACGCCGCGUGCGGGAUGACGGCCUUCGGGUUGUAAACCGCUUUCGCCUGUGACAAAGCGUGAGUGACGGUAAUGGGUAAAGAAGCAUCGGCUAACUACGUG
rnacentral:rRNA from 1 species